ACGGUCCUAAGGUAGCGAAAUUCCUUGUCGGGUAAGUUCCGACCUGCACGAAUGGCAUAAUGAUGGCCACACUGUCUCCUCCUGAGACUCAGUGAAGUUGAAAUGUUUGUGAUGAUGCAAUCUCCCCGCGGCUAGACGGAAAGACCCCAUGAACCUUUACUGCAGCUUUGCAUUGGACUUUGAACCGAUCUGUGUAGGAUAGGUGGGAGGCAGUGAAGCUAGGACGCCAGUCUUAGCGGAGCCAACCUUGAAAUACCACCCUGAUUUGUUUGAGGUUCUAACCUAGGAGCGUAAUCCGCUUCGGGGACCGUGCAUGGUAGGCAGUUUGACUGGGGCGGUCUCCUCCUAAAGGGUAACGGAGGAGUGCGAAGGUACGCUAGGUACGGUCGGAAAUCGUGCUGAUAGUGCAAUGGCAAAAGCGUGCUUGACUGCGAGACCGACAAGUCGAGCAGAUACGAAAGUAGGUCAUAGUGAUCCGGUGGCUCUGCAUGGAAGGGCCAUCGCUCAACGGAUAAAAGGUACUCUGGGGAUAACAGGCUGAUACCGCCCAAGAGUUCAUAUCGACGGCGGUGUUUGGCACCUCGAUGUCGGCUCAUCUCAUCCUGGGGCUGUAGCCGGUCCCAAGGGUAUGGCUGUUCGCCAUUUAAAGAGGUACGUGAGCUGGGUUUAAAACGUCGUGAGACAGUUUUGUCCCUAUCUGCCGUGGGCGUUGGAAGAUUGACGGGGGCUGCUCCUAGUACGAGAGGACCGGAGUGGACUCACCUCUGGUGUACCGGUUGUCACGCCAGUGGCAUCGCCGGGUAGCUAUGUGGGGAAAGGAUAACCGCUGAAAGCAUCUAAGCGGGAAACCUGCCUGAAGAUAAGUCUUCCUGGAGGCUUUGACCUCCCUGAAGAGUCGUUCGAGACCAGGACGUUGAUAGGUUGGAUGUGCAAGCGCUGUGAGGCGUUGAGCUGACCAAUACUAAUUGCUCGUGAAGCUUGAUCCU
rnacentral:rRNA from 1 species